rnacentral:rRNA from 1 species
AACGACUGCUAAGACUGGAUAGGAGAUAAGAAGGCAUCUUUUUAUUUUUAAAAGACCUAGCAAUAGGUAUGCUUAGGGAAGAGCUUGCGUCACAUUAGUUAGUUGGUGGGGUAAUGGCCUACCAAGACGAUGAUGUGUAGCCGGGCUGAGAGGUCGAACGGCCACAUUGGGACUGAGACACGGCCCAAACUCCUACGGGAGGCAGCAGUAAGGAAUUUUCGGCAAUGGAGGAAACUCUGACCGAGCAAUGCCGCGUGAACGAUGAAGUAUUUCGGUACGUAAAGUUCUUUUAUUAGGGAAGAAAAGAUGGUGGAAAAACCAUUAUGACGGUACCUAAUGAAUAAGCCCCGGCUAACUAUGUGCCAGCAGCCGCGGUAAUACAUAGGGGGCAAGCGUUAUCCGGAAUUAUUGGGCGUAAAGGGUGCGUAGGCGGUUAAAUAAGUUUAUGGUCUAAGUGCAACGCUCAACGUUGUGAUGCUAUAAAAACUGUUUAGCUAGAGUUGGAUAGAGGCAAGUGGAAUUCCGUGUGUAGUGGUAAAAUGCGUAAAUAUACGGAGGAACACCAGAAGCGAAGGCGGCUUGCUGGGUCUUAACUGACGCUGAGGCACGAAAGCGUGGGGAGCAAACAGGAUUAGAUACCCUGGUAGUCCACGCCCUAAACGAUGAGUACUAAACGUUGGAUAAAACCAGUGUUGAAGUUAACACAUUAAGUACUCCGCCUGAGUAGUACGUACGCAAGUAUGAAACUUAAAGGAAUUGACGGGACUCCGCACAAGCGGUGGAUCAUGUUGUUUAAUUCGAAGGUACCCGAAAAACCUCACCAGGUCUUGACAUGCUUUUGCAAAGCUGUAGAAAUACAGUGGAGGUUAUCAGAAGCACAGGUGGUGCAUGGUUGUCGUCAGCUCGUGUCGUGAGAUGUUGGGUUAAGUCCCGCAACGAGCGCAACCCUUGUUGUUAAUUGCCAUCAUUAAGUUGGGGACUUUAGCAAGACUGCCAAUGAUAAAUUGGAGGAAGGUGGGGACGACGUCAAAUCAUCAUGCCCCUUAUGACCUGGGCUACAAACGUGAUACAAUGGCUGUUACAAAGGGUAGCUAAAGCGUAAGCUUCUGGCGAAUCUCAAAAAAGCAGUCUCAGUUCGGAUUGAAGUCUGCAACUCGACUUCAUGAAGUUGGAAUCGCUAGUAAUCGCGAAUCAGCAUGUCGCGGUGAAUACGUUCUCGGGGUUUGUACACACCGCCCGUCAAA